GUAACAAAGGACUGGAACGAUUAUAGAGUGGGUAAACAGGAGUACAGACAGUACAUUACACCAUACAACAAGGCUACCUUUAUACUUGGUAACGAGUAUAUUGUCCGCCCACGGCCAACUAGAGACCAUACGCCGUGCUCCUCACCAUUAAGGUGUUGGGGAUGAAGAUAUGGCCCUUCGUAGAGGAAUAGAAGAGCGAAAUUCCUUGUCGGGUAAGUUCCGACGC
rnacentral:autocatalytically_spliced_intron from 1 species